AACACAUUUCGGAAGUGUGUCUCCGGGAAGGAUCUCGAUAAGAUCUCUGAACAUGAAAAGAUAACUUAUAGAUACUACUGUGAAGCGAUCUUGGUACUUGGUCUAUUUCAGCGACCAGGAGCAGUGGAAAGAAUGACUGUGCACGAGUGGAUCGAUCGGAAGCAAUGUAAUAAAAGCUUUGUGAUUGGUGCGUGUGAUCACAAAACGGACACAUCACCGCUUCUUACAUUUGCCAUCUCACAAGAGGAGGAGGCUUGGUUUCAAGCAUACUACGAGUACAUUCGCCCCGGA